CCUACGGGGGGCUGCAGUGGGGAAUAUUGGACAAUGGGGGCAACCCUGAUCCAGCCAUGCCGCGUGUGUGAAGAAGACCCUCGGGUUGUAAAGCACUUUCAGUGAGGAAGAACGCCUGGUGGUUAAUACCCAUCAGGAAAGACAUCACUCACAGAAGAAGCACCGGCUAACUCCGUGCCAGCAGCCGCGGUAAUACGGAGGGUGCGAGCGUUAAUCGGAAUUACUGGGCGUAAAGCGCGCGUAGGUGGCUUGAUAAGCCGGUUGUGAAAGCCCCGGGCUCAACCUGGGAACGGCAUCCGGAACUGUCAAGCUAGAGUGCAGGAGAGGAAGGUAGAAUUCCCGGUGUAGCGGUGAAAUGCGUAGAGAUCGGGAGGAAUACCAGUGGCGAAGGCGGCCUUCUGGACUGACACUGACACUGAGGUGCGAAAGCGUGGGUAGCAAACAGGAUUAGAUACCCCAGUAGUC
rnacentral:rRNA from 1 species